rnacentral:lncRNA from 1 species
AAAAAAAAAAAAGGCCAAAAAAUAAACGGAGACAGAGGCAAAUUAUUUCAUGAGCUACAAAGAUGAAUAAGAAAAGAAGCCGCUUUUGUACGUUCUGAUUAUUUCUCCAC